UACGUCGGGGGCAAGCGUUGUCCGGAUUUAUUGGGCGUAAAGAGCGUGUAGGCGGCCACACAGGUCUGCUGUGAAAACUCGAGGCUCAACCUCGAGCUGUCGGUGGAAACCGUGUGGCUAGAGUCCGGAAGAGGAGAGUGGAAUUCCCGGUGUAGCGGUGAAAUGCGCAGAUAUCGGGAAGAACACCCGUGGCGAAGGCGGCUCUCUGGGACGGUACUGACGCUGAGGUGCGAAAGCGUGGGGAGCAAACAGG
rnacentral:rRNA from 1 species